UACGGAGGGUGCAAGCAUUGAUCGGAAUUAUUGGGCGUAAAGGGCGCGUAGGCGGCAAGAUAAGUCAGAUGUGAAAUUCCGGGGCUCAACCCCGGAGCUGCAUUUGAAACUGUCUAGCUAGAGCGUAGUUAGGGAAAAUGGAAUUCCACGUGUAGCGGUGAAAUGCGUAGAUAUGUGGAAGAACACCAGUGGUGAAGACGAUUUUCUGAGCUAUUGCUGACGCUGAGGCGCGAAAGCUAGGGGAGCAAACAGG
rnacentral:misc_RNA from 1 species